CAGUCGCCGCGGUAAUACGAAGGGGGCUAGCGUUGCUCGGAAUGACUGGGCGUAAAGGGCGCGUAGGCGGAUGGCACAGUCAGAUGUGAAAUUCCCGGGCUUAACCUGGGGGCUGCAUUUGAUACGUGUUGUCUAGAGUAAGGAAGAGGGUCGUGGAAUUCCCAGUGUAGAGGUGAAAUUCGUAGAUAUUGGGAAGAACACCAGUGGCGAAGGCGACUCUCUGGUCUGUAACUGACGCUGAGGAGCGAAAGCGUGGGGAGCGAACAGGAUUAGAUACCCCCGUAGUCCCUGUCUCUUAUAC
rnacentral:rRNA from 1 species